CCUACGGGAGGCAGCAGUAGGGAAUAUUGGACAAUGGGUGCAAGCCUGAUCCAGCCAUGCCGCGUGCAGGAAGACGGCCUUCUGGGUUGUAAACUGCUUUUUUCAGGGGAUAAAAGGCCCGUGCGCGGGACAUUGAAAGUACCUGGAGAAUAAGCACCGGCUAACUCCGUGCCAGCAGCCGCGGUAAU
rnacentral:rRNA from 1 species